GGGGAUGUAGCUCAGUAGUAGAGCAUCUGUCUAGCUGUAAAGAAGCCCUGGGUUCAAUUCCCAGCAUCACAC
rnacentral:tRNA from 1 species